rnacentral:rRNA from 1 species
GCAACGGAGCCUAAAAACGAGCUAACCAUAGUUAGUUCGCCUUACCUUUCCCGCACGAUACAGACCAAACCAGGGUUCCGCGUACGCCAACGGCGAAACCAAACCACUAUCAUCCUCUUCCUCGACCUCGAGCUUCCCCCUGUCCCCUCCAUUCCCCCCGCACAGGAUUCCCCAGAUCGACGCCCCGGUUCCUCCCGAACCGCACCGGAAUCCCCCGCCGGAUUGGCCCCGCCCAUGGUGUAAUCAGGGGUCCCGACCGCGCUGGCGAUGGAGGCGCAGUGGCUCGCCGAGUACCCGCACCAGGCCGCCGACAACCGGCCGCGCAAGCGCCCCCGCCUCGCAUGGGAUGCCGCGCCGCAGCUCUUCCCGCCCCCCAAGGCAAUCCCGAUGCUAUAUUGUGGGCAGGAACUAAUCAACGGCAAUUUCACUACUGCUUUCCUGCCGCCACCACCAAUUUAUUAUGCUGGACCACCGCGGAAUCUUUCGCCCCCUUGGAGGCCGGAUGACAAGGAUGGACACUAUGUUUUCACACUCGGCGAGAACCUUACACCAAGAUAUAGGAUACUCAGCAAGAUGGGCGAAGGGACCUUUGGACAAGUUCUGGAAUGCUGGGACUUGGAAAACCAAGAAUCAGUAGCUAUCAAGAUUGUGCGUUCCCUGCAGAAAUACCGGGAGGCUGCUAUGAUUGAAAUUGAUGUGCUUCAGAGACUUGGGAAGCAUGAUUUUACUGGUAGUCGUUGUGUGCAAAUACGGAAUUGGUUUGACUAUCGUAAUCAUAUAUGUAUAGUAUUUGAGAAGCUUGGACCAAGCUUAUACGACUUCCUACGGAAGAAUAACUACCGUUCAUUUGCUAUUGAUCUUGUUCGGGAGUUUGCCAGACAAAUAUUAGAGUCUGUUACAUUUAUGCAUGACCUGCGGCUUAUUCACACAGAUCUUAAGCCAGAGAACAUUCUCCUUGUUUCACCUGAUACAAUCAGGGUUCAUGAUUAUAAGAUUCCUAUACGCCCACCCAAGGAUGGGUCUGUUUUCAAGAACCUUCCAAAAUCGAGUGCUAUCAAGCUUAUCGAUUUUGGAAGUACAACAUUCGAUCAUCAAGAUCACAAUUAUGUCGUGUCAACAAGACAUUACCGUGCCCCAGAAGUUAUCCUUGGUCUUGGGUGGAAUUAUCCAUGCGAUCUUUGGAGUGUGGGAUGCAUUUUGGUUGAGCUCUGCUCGGAGGAGGCUUUAUUUCAAACACAUGAAAAUUUGGAGCAUCUUGCUAUGAUGGAGAAGGUUCUAGGCCCCCUUCCCAAACACAUGAUUGCCAGAGCUGAUAGACGAGCUGAGAAAUACUUCAGGCGUGGACUAAGGCUUGACUGGCCAGAGGGGGCAGCCUCACGAGAAAGCAUGAAGGCAGUAUGGAAAUUGCCUCGUCUGCAGAAUCUGGUCAUGCAACAUGUCGAUCAUUCUGCUGGGGAUCUAAUAGAUCUUCUUCAGGGGCUUCUUCGGUAUGAUCCUGAUGAGCGUCUUAAGGCACGACAAGCUCUUCAACACCCUUUCUUUACCAGAUGCCACAGAAGAUGUGGUUACUGAGAGUAUACUGAGAAUGAAAUGCUCAAUUCUGUAUUUCUUCAUUUCGAUGUGUAAGAGCUACCAAAAAAAUGGAAAUGUUCUGCAGAAAAUGAAAUGUGCUAACUCACAUCCUGUUCAAUGAUGUGAAAGGUAACUGUUGUAUAUAAAAUGAGUUUGUUGACUGUUGAUUUAUUUAAACCAGGCGGUACUUUUUCAGUUGAUACAUGCCUUCGAAAUCCAUACUAAUUUUCCCCAGACUACUCAGUACUAACAGGUAGCAUGCAGAAAUCUCAAAUCUCUAACUUGAGGAUAGUCACUGAGGAUUAGGGGGAUGCAGUGGCUGGCUUGCAUGAAAGACUGUUACAAAUUUGAUGGCGACAAACG